rnacentral:rRNA from 1 species
UACGUAGGGUGCAAGCGUUGUCCGGAAUUAUCGGGCGUAAAGAGCUCGUAGGCGGUCUGUCGCGUCGGCUGUGAAAACUCGGGGCUCAACCCCGAGCCUGCAGUCGAUACGGGCAGACUAGAGUGCGGUAGGGGAGACGGGAAUUCCUGGUGUAGCGGUGAAAUGCGCAGAUAUCAGGAGGAACACCGGCGGCGAAGGCGGGUCUCUGGGCCGUAACUGACGCUGAGGAGCGAAAGCGUGGGGAGCGAACAGG